rnacentral:rRNA from 1 species
GUCUCAGUUCGGAUUGUAGUCUGCAACUCGACUACAUGAAGCUGGAAUCGCUAGUAAUCGCAAAUCAGAAUGUUGCGGUGAAUACGUUCCCGGGUCUUGUACACACCGCCCGUCACACCAUGGGAGUUGGGAAUGCCCGAAGCCGGUGACCUAACCGAAAGGGAGGAGCCGUCGAAGGCAGGCUUGAUAACUGGGGUGAAGUCGUAACAAGGUAAC